rnacentral:sRNA from 1 species
GACAGUCAUCAUAUGUAAUUAGCAAGAUCAAGCUAUGGUCAGAUGAAUAAUUUCGAAAAGGCAGCCUGCAAAGGACAAAAGUACAGGAGAGAUGCUGAAACAAAACGCGCUGGGUAGGAUGCCUUCAUCAAAAGGAGCAUUCUGCAUUGGCGAUACGCACUGAGGAUCUGGCAAGAAUGCCAAUGAGGAACAUGAAGCCCAGAUAAUGAGGUCUGAGUGGUUAUAAUCACUAGCCCAUUCUGAAGAGUCCAAGCAGAUUCUGGAGUCCCACUGUGCUACACGAUCCAGCAAUUCUUCCCUGAACCAUAUGAUUUUAUACAGGUUGACUCUAAAUACUACAUAAUAGGCACUUUUCAUCAUAAGCAUUGGCUAAAAAUUUGAUUUUUCUUUAAAAAAACCUACGGACUUUAAAUAUAUGUAAAUGCAAAAAUAUAUGUAGAUGACAGUAUUCUGUGCAAUAUAGUUUCAAUUUGUAUUUUUUGCAAUGAAUAACUUUGUACAUGUGUCAUUUUGCAUGUUUGAACAUAUCUGUAAGAUACCUGAUGAUUUUUGACAAAUGUAUAUACUCCUGAAAAUACCACCUCAUCAUGAUACAGAAAAGUGACACUUAUGCCUCUUUGGAGUCAGUUCCCUGCCCCUAACUCUGGCCCAUAGCAUCCUUGAUGUGCUUUCUGUCUCUAUAGUUUUGCCUUUUUUACAAUUUCAUAUAAAUGGAAUAAUACAGUAUGUAGACUUUCAUGUCUAGGUAUUUUCCACUUAGCAUAAUACUUUUGACAUUUAUGUUGUUACAUGCAGCAGUUUGUUAUUUUUAUUGUCAAAUAGUAUUACUUGCUGUAGAUGUGCCACAAUUUAUCUAUUCACUAGUUGAUGGAGAAUUGGUCUGUUUCCAGUUAGGGGCUAAUAUGAAUAGUGUUGAUAUGAACAUUUGGCUGCAAGUCUUGGGUGAACAUAUGUUUUCUUUUUCCUUGGGUAAAUGUUUAGCACAUGGUUCUGCUGGGUUUUAUGGUUACUGCAUAUUUAAGUUAGUAAGAACCUACCUAAUUCUUUUGUGAAUUGGUCCUAACAUUUUGUAUUUCUACCAGCCAAACGUGGUAUAUUUUCAGUCUUAACUUUACACUUUGUAAGAAAUGUGUAGAGACAUCUUAUUAUGGUUUACAUUUUAGUUUUUCCAAUGACUAAAGAUGCUGAGCAUCCUUCCAUGUAUUAUUUGCUAUUUGUGUAUCUUC